UACCAGCACCCCGAGUGGUCGGGACGUUUAUUGGGCCUAAAGCAUCCGUAGCCGGUUCUACAAGUCUUCCGUUAAAUCCAACUGCUUAACAGGUGGGCUGCGGAAGAUACUAUGGAGCUAGGAGGCGGGAGAGGCAAGCGGUACUCGAUGGGUAGGGGUAAAAUCCGUUGAUCCAUUGAAGACCACCAGUGGCGAAGGCGGCUUGCCAGAACGCGCUCGACGGUGAGGGAUGAAAGCUGGGGGAGCGAACAGG
rnacentral:rRNA from 1 species